rnacentral:rRNA from 1 species
GCGGCCUAUCAGCUUGUUGGCGGGGUAAUGGCCCACCAAGGCGACGACGGGUAGCUGGUCUGAGAGGAUGGCCAGCCACAUUGGGACUGAGCGACGGCCCAGACUCCUACGGGAGGCAGCAGUGGGGAAUCUUGCGCAAUGGCCGAAAGGCUGACGCAGCGACGCCGCGUGUGGGAUGAAGCAUUUCGGUGUGUAAACCACUGUUGCCCGGGACGAACAGCCUUUUUCGAGAGGUCUGACGGUACCGGGUGAGGAAGCACCGGCUAACUCCGUGCCAGCAGCCGCGGUAAUACGGAGGGUGCGAGCGUUGUCCGGAAUCAUUGGGCGUAAAGGGCGCGUAGGUGGCGGUUUAAGCGUGCGGUGAAAGCUCGGGGCUCAACCCCGAGUCGGCCGUGCGAACUGAAUCGCUUGAGCACUGUAGAGGCAGGCGGAAUUCCGGGUGUAGCGGUGGAAUGCGUAGAGAUCCGGAAGAACACCGGUGGCGAAGGCGGCCUGCUGGGCAGUAGCUGACACUGAGGCGCGACAGCGUGGGGAGCAAACAGGAUUAGAUACCCUGGUAGUCCACGCCGUAAACGAUGGGCACUAGGCGCUUGGGGGAGCGACCCCCCGAGGGCCGGCGCUAACGCAUUAAGUGCCCCGCCUGGGGAGUACGG